UUUAAAUUUAGAGUUUGAUCCUGGCUCAGGACGAACGCUGGCGGCGUGCUUAACACAUGCAAGUCGAGCGAUGAAGCUUCCUUCGGGAAGUGGAUUAGCGGCGGACGGGUGAGUAACACGUGGGUAACCUGCCUCAAAGUGGGGGAUAGCCUUCCGAAAGGAAGAUUAAUACCGCAUAAUAUAAGAGAAUCGCAUGAUUUUUUUAUCAAAGAUU
rnacentral:rRNA from 1 species